GAUGAAGAACGUAGCGAAAUGCGAUAAGUAGUGUGAAUUGCAGAAUUCAGUGAAUCAUCGAAUCUUUGAACGCACAUUGCGCCCCUUGGUAUUCCAUGGGGCAUGCCUGUUCGAGCGUCAUUUGUACCUUCAAGCUCUGCUUGGUGUUGGGUGUUUGUCUCGCCUCUGCGUGUAGACUCGCCUCAAAACAAUUGGCAGCCGGCGUAUCGAUUUCGGAGCGCAGUACAUCUCGCGCUUUGCACUCAUAACGACGACGUCCAAAAGUACAUUUUUACACUCUUGACCUCGGAUCAGGUAGGGAUACCCGCUGAACUUAAGCAUAUCAAUAAGCGGAGGA
rnacentral:misc_RNA from 1 species